AUGUACGCAUCAACAACUUUGGAAACGGAAGAAGCAAGUUGGAUUAAGCAGGAAGAUAUGGUUGAUGAUUGGGAGCAGGAAGAGAUUUUCAUGCACGAUGAUGAAAGAAAGCAUGAUCCUAAAAAGCUUGAAGAGCUUGAAAAAUUUAUAACAGAUUUAGAUGUAGGAGAUUCAAUCUUUGUUGUAGAGUCUUAUUCACACAUGCUUAAUUUGAUCAACUUAGCUUAA
rnacentral:lncRNA from 1 species